GUAGGGUGCAGGCGUUAAUCGGAAUUACUGGGCGUAAAGCGUGCGCAGGCGGCUCCUUAAGUCAGAUGUGAAAUCCCCGGGCUUAACCUGGGAACUGCGUUUGAAACUGGGGGGCUUGAGUGUGGAAGAGGGGGGUGGAAUUCCAGGUGUAGCAGUGAAAUGCGUAGAGAUCUGGAGGAACACCGAUGGCGAAGGCAGCCCCCUGGGCUAACACUGACGCUCAUGCACGAAAGCGUGGGGAGCAAACAGGAUUAGAUACCCUGGUAGUCCACGCCCUAAACGAUGUCAACUGGUUGUCGGGGAAGUUAUUCCUUGGUAACGAAGCUAACGCGUGAAGUUGACCGCCUGGGGAGUACGGCCGCAAGGUUA
rnacentral:rRNA from 1 species